GAAAGUCGGAAACUUUAAAUAAUGAUCGGCAGUUUAGCUCAAGCAUCUGGAUCCAUCAAAAAGGACAAUCAAUACCUAUCUAAUCUACAUGUAGAUGGAACUUUAGGAUAGAAUUACAAUUGAUUUGGAGUUCGUUAUUUGCAGUAGUGGUUGAGUUGUGCUGUUUCCCUUGUCAACCAGCAAUUUCCAACUCGUUCAAGAAAUGGCCGAGGUACUCAUCAACCUCCUUGUUCAACAAUUGGGUUCAGUUGUUUACCACCACACAAGUGAAGGGUUGAAAUUGGUUUUGAAAGCAAAGAAGGACGUUGUCAAGUUCAGAAGCACCCUCAAACUUAUCCAGAAUGUGCUUCACGACGCUGAGAAGAAGCAAGUGUCGGAUCCCGCUGUGAGAGACUGGUUGGAUCAGCUCAAAGACGUGUCGUACAAGAUGGAUGACGUGCUAGAUGGUUGGAACACUAAAAUUGGGAAACGAGAAGAUGAGAAACAAGAAACACAAGGUUCUCAUGUGGAGGUACGUUUCUCAUUUCGUUCCAAUUGCUAAUUUUGUCUUGCCAGAUUGAAUGAGGUAGCUCGUUGUUAUAAGAUUGGUAGUGCAAUAAAAGAUCUGAGUGAAGAGUCAACUCAGAUUUACGUUGACAAAAACAAGUUUAGCUUUCAAUCCACCAUGCCUGCUGCUGUAGUCAAUGUUGAACAAUAUAAUCCCCGACCUAUAACUUCAUCUUUCGUCGAUGUAUCGACCAUAAUUGGGCGCAAAGUUGAAAAAGAGAGGUUGGUGAGUGAGUUGUUAAGGGAGGGGAGGUCCGGCCUUGUCAUCCCCAUUGUAGGGAUGGGAGGAUUGGGGAAAACAAGUUUUACCCAAUUAGUCUUUAAGGAUGCAGAAGUUCAAGCCCAUUUUGAUAUCAAAGCAUGGGUUUGUGUCUCAGAUCCUUUUGAUGUCAUCAAGAUUGCAAAAGAAAUCCUUGAACUUGUCAGUGGAAUAAAAUCUCAAGACAGUUCAAAUGUGUUGGAAAAAUUAUUAGAAAGCAUCCAGGAAUGUAUCGAGGAUAAAAAAAUUCUCCUUGUCCUAGAUGAUGUGUGGACUCAAAACCAAACAGAGUGGGAGACGUUGAGUUUACCACUGCUAGUGCAAACCUGUUCCAAAGGUAGUAGAAUUCUGGUGACCACUCGAAAGCAGGAGGUUGCUCAAAUGAUGAGAGCAACCAGUGACAUGAUCACUUUGGGGAAGUUGAGUCAUGUAGAUUCUUUGGAACUAUUCUAUAGUGUUGCAUUUCAGCAUAGGGAACAAGAUAAGUCCAACAAGGGGUUUGCAGAUAUUGCUAAGAAAAUUGUUGGAAAAUGUGACGGUUUGCCUCUUGUUCUAAAGACUUUAGCUAGUCUCCUAUUGCAUAAGUAGACAAUCAGAGAAUGAGAAGAAGUUCUCAACAGUGAGAUAUGGAAGGUAAAAGUGGUUCAACAAGAAGUUUUUCGACCAUUAUUACUCAGUUAUUAUGAUUUGGCUCCAGAAAUUAAGAGCUGCCUUAUGUAUUGUGCUAUUUAUCCCAAAGAUUUUGAGUUCGACAAAGAAAUUCUUAUCGAGCAGUGGAUGUCACAAGGCUAUCUGAAUGUUGGAGAAAACAAAGAAGAGGCAACACAAGGUAGAGAAGUUUUUACCAAGUUGGUAAUGCGAUGUUUCUUCCAAGAUUUUAGGCAAAAUGCACUUACCAAGGAAAUUAUAGGCUGCAAAAUGCAUGAUAUUGUGCAUGAUUUUGUACAAUAUCUUACCGAGAAUGAGUGUCUUACUCUAAAGGCUAAGGGUACCCAUGGAAUAGAGACAUCGAGUGCAAAUGAUAGGGUUCGCCAUUUGACCUUAAUGUUAGCACACGAUGGUCCAUUUCCAUCUUUUAUAUCAAAAUUAGCGAAUAGCAAAAUUUUGCGUACCCUGAAAACUUUUGGUUCAAGAUUUACUGCCAUAGACUCGGAUUUGAUUUCACAAUUGAAAUGUCUAAGGACUUUGAAAUUGAGUCACAACAUCAUCGAGCAGUUGCCAAAGGAGAUUGGUAAUUUGAUACAUUUGAGAUAUCUUGAUUUGUCUCUUAAUCGUUAUUUGGAGAGAUUGCCCGAUAGCGUGUGUAACUUGUAUAAUCUGCAAACUUUGAACCUUGAUAAGUGCGCCAGACUUGAAGAAUUGCCCGACAAUAUGGGGAAGUUGAUUAACUUGAAGCACCUUCAUGUUUGUUAUUGUGAUUCGCUUCGGUACUUACCAAAAGGGAUUGGGAGUAUAAGGAAUUUGCGAACACUAGACGGGGAGGCUUCUGUUUAUUGUAGUGAAGAAGUCGAAGUAUUGACAUUAGGGGAUCUGAGAAUGAUGAAUCAACUUCGCCGUCUUGACAUCGGUAUUCCAGAGGUUGGGGAAAAUGCUGCAAGUGAGGCUGAGAAAGCAGAACUGAAUCAAAAAGUUCAUCUUUCUUAUUUAAAACUUAAUUAUCUGUGGAACCAACGCGACAACGACGCAAAUGCUAGAGUAAUGAAUGCCUUGCGACCACAUGAGAAUUUGGGCUGUUUGGUAAUUGAUGGGUAUAAGGGCUCCACCUGGCCCAAUUGGAUGACGACGGCGUAUUUAACCAGAUUAACAGUCUUUCAUCUUUGUCACAGCAAGUCCUCUGUUUUGCCUCCCCUCGGGAAGCUGCCGUCCCUUAAAGUAGUGAAGCUAAAGUACUUGGAUCGUCUAAAAAAGAUUGGAGCUGAAUUUUUCGGAGUAGAAGAAGAAACAUCAUCAUCCUUCCCAAGUUUGGAAACACUAUUUCUUGGCUGCUUGCCGAGUUUAGAAAGGUGGGAAUUAGGUGGAAAGUAUUCUUCUGAUUCCAAAAUGAAAUCAAUUUCAAUAGUGCCACGCCUUUCUUCCUUGCAUAUUGUGCAAUGUCCUAAACUGAAACAACUGCCAGACCUCCUCAUGCAAAAUGCACCAGUGCAGAAUCUUCUCAUCGAUUGUUAUAAGAGCUUUGACAACCUUUCUGAUGAGUUCAUCUCUCGCAUCCCAAACGUCACAAUUAUUCCCUCCAUAUAUGGAGUUGAUCCCUUUUUCAAAGGAAGAACAAUAGAUACUGAAGAUAUACUAUUCUGAUAAUCGCUAGUCGUGAAGUACUGACGUUACUUAUAGUCGAUCAAGUUAAAGAUUUCAAGCACCUUAUUGGAGGCUGUUCAAACCUACCACAAGUUUGCGGUGGUGCCUAAAUUGCCCAAGACAUGAUGACACUUGGGUAGCUUUAAGCAUAACUGACUCAGAAUCACAAUGAACCUUGAAGUUGUCCAACUGAUCGAUAAGGAAUGGAGCAAUGGUAGCUGAGCAACUAAGGAGGAUUGUUGAGCUGUGAUACACCACUCGGGAAACUUGUCUUGCAUUGAGGCAUCCACUGAUUGAUGUGCUUUUCAUGGUUCUGCCUAUUUUGUAGGAAGAGAAAACAGAUCUACCAAAGACCUGCUCCUUGAAGAUUCUCAUGGCUACCUCUUAAAAGUGAGAAACACUUACCUAGAGGAGUAUGGGUGCUCAAGCAUGGGUGUUUCACCCCCCAUUCACCAUUGGAUUUUUUCAUUGCUAUUGGCUUCUGUCCCAUUUUGGUGGCUUCGGUUCCUUCUCGGAUUGAGUCUCUUUGGUGGAGAAGAGAAAGUUUGUGUGGGUUUGGCUCCAAUUAAUCGUCUCAUUACAUUGGUUUCGACUGGAUUUGUAUUUUGAGAUUGUACUGGCAACGGUUAUUAGGAUUUUAUCUCCUCUAUAUUUCGCGACCUUUUGGCUUCGGACAGUGGUGGCGGUGCGGAUGGCUUGGGCGGCAGCUGUUGUAUUGUAGGAGAUGAUAUAUUACUUAAUUUUUAGGAGUUCGCCGGAGACGAUCUGGAGGCAUGAAAUCGAUGUCGUUGCAGACCUCACGAGCUCGCCGGCGACGACCUAGAGGCAUGGUGCGACCGGCACAAACCGAAACGAUGUUGUUACAGACCUCACAAGCUCGCCGGUGACGACUUGGAGGCAUGUCGCGAUCUACACGACAAAGUCGUCAUGGUCUCUGGCUCUUCGACGAGGCCUCCACAGCCACCAUUGCCUCUUCCUCCACCUCACCUCCAUCGGAACCUUAAACGAGGCUUCUUCUCCGGCAACGAUGACAAGGCCCGCAGCCUCUUCAACUCGAAUCAAAAUCCCCAACCGGUGGCUUUCUCUUCAGAUUCGAUCUCAACCACCACCAGGUACACUGUAUGGCACCUCUAAUCCUAGAUCUCCACCUCUUUUCUCCGAUUUGUGUUUCAGCA